rnacentral:tRNA from 1 species
GGGGGUGUAGCUCAGUGGUAGAGUGGGUGCUUGGCAUGCAGGAGGUCCUGGAUUCAAUUCCCAGUGCCUCCG